CAGAACUGCAAGUGAGAAGGUCCCAGCCUCCUGGGACUUGCAGUGUGAAAAGGCCUCCGGAAAGAGUUUAGAGGCCAUCGUGAGAAACAGCCAACAGUGUUCAAGAAUGCCCUGCUCACAGAACCUAUGUCUGCCACACUCUGACCUCAUCUCUAUCACCUUGUGACAACAAGAUGUUGCCAUGGGGAACAGUGGAGCAGGCCUUCAUGCUGCUGCCUAAUCUCCCGCAGAAGACCUCUCUGUGUUCCCAGCUAUGGAGACCACCAACCCAGGCAAACAAGCCAAGCCAGCCAUGACCAAGCCAAGAGAGCUGAGCAGCGGCAACCAAGAGCUCUCAUCCCCAAGGGACCCAUCCAGAGCACUUUCUCCGCUUCUCCCCUUUGGCUAUGGGCCAAUCCAGCCCAUACACCCCUACUUCAUUCUCAGCCCUUCCACUGCCCCCCCCCCCAGCAGUGCCUGGGGGCCCAAGAGCCUGAGAGCUAGCUGGUGCUUUGCAUAUUAUAACUUUUUUUUUUUAAAUUGAGGUGAAAUUCAAGCAGACUCAAAUUUUUAGCAAUCUUCCUGCCUCAACCUCCCAAAUACUAGGGUCACAAAUGCGGGCCACCAGAAUCUUUGUUGCACACCUGUUGUGUGUUGGACACAGUUUUGAGGGUUGGGGAUUCAACAGUGGACAGAACUAAAAGUUUGCAAUGUGUUCCAGCAAAGACAGCCAGACGGCUGAGGAAAACAACUGGAUCCUGUAUGUUAAACUGCAAGAAGGACUAGGGAGAAAAUACAGGCAGGAAAGAGCGUAGGCAGAUGCAGUUAAGGAAGUCCCGGCUGAUAAGGAGGAUGAGGGAGGAAACACUGCAGCAGGAUGCUUCCACAGACUCAGGAUGCAGCUAAUUGGCGGAGCGAUUGACUGGUGUUCAUGAGACACUGAGAUUAAACCCCAGAAAUACACACACGCACACGCACGUGCACACACACACACAUGGAAGUGCUCAGCAUGUUGGAGGAACAGUAGGUACACAGGAAGAGUAUGAAGGAGGUA